AGAGUUUGAUCAUGGCUCAGAACGAACGCUGGCGGCAUGCCUAACACAUGCAAGUCGAACGAGACCUUCGGGUCUAGUGGCGCACGGGUGCGUAACGCGUGGGAACCUGCCUUUAGGUUCGGAAUAACUCAGAGAAAUUUGAGCUAAUACCGGAUAAUGUCUUCGGACCAAAGAUUUAUCGCCUUUAGAUGGGCCCGCGUUGGAUUAGCUAGUUGGUGGGGUAAAGGCCUACCAAGGCGACGAUCCAUAGCUGGUCUGAGAGGAUGAUCAGCCACACUGGGACUGAGACACGGCCCAGACUCCUACGGGAGGCAGCAGUGGGGAAUAUUGGACAAUGGGCGAAAGCCUGAUCCAGCAAUGCCGCGUGGGUGAUGAAGGCCUUAGGGUUGUAAAGCUCUUUUACCCGGGAUGAUAAUGACAGUACCGGGAGAAUAAGCCCCGGCUAACUCCGUG
rnacentral:rRNA from 1 species